rnacentral:sRNA from 1 species
UAACAUAGGGGUUUGAAAAGGGGAUCCCCCUUUUCCGGUUUAAGGAGGGUGCUCAGAAACACGAAGUGUUUCGUCGAAGGGAAC